AACAACAAAUACCCAAUCUAUCCCUCGGUGUGAUUAGAUACUUGUUACAUAAAGCAAACCGCAACGUUCACUCCUCAGAAGACAGCCAGAGCUGGCAACGGCCAGCUGGAAAGCAGUCACGGAAAUGGUGCUGGUCUUCAGUGUCGUGCAGGACAGAUGCCAAGGCUCCCGCCUCAAGGGCACGGUUAUCCUCACACGGUCAUUUCAGGGCAAUCAUUAGGAUGACACUAGGAGCAAAGCCUGCUGGAUCAAUCCCCAUCCCAGCAAGCCGUGCGGUGUGGAAACAUGACCAGGCAGAGGUGCACCAUGAUACUUCGGGGAAGCCAGAUGAAGAAGGAUGAAUGAUGGCCUCCAAAAUGAUAUGUGCACAUUCUAUCCCCUGGAACCUGUGAACAUCAGCUUAUUUAGAAUAAGGAUCUUUGCGGGGCGCCUGGGUGGCGCAGUCGGUUAAGCGUCCGACUUCAGCCA